AUUGAACGCUGGCGGCAGGCCUAACACAUGCAAGUCGAGCGAGCGGCGGACGGGAGAGUAAUGUAUGGGGAUCUGCGCGAUAGAGGGGGAUAACUACUGGAAACGGUUGCUAAUUCCGCACACUAUCGGAUGAACCCGUAUGGGAAUAGCUAGUGGGUGGGGUAAAGGCUGACCAAGGCGACGAUCUCUAGCUGGUCUGAGAGGAUGAACAGCCACACUGGGACUGAGACACGGCCCAGACUCCUACGGGAGGCAGCAGUGGGGAAUAUUGCACAAUGGGCGAAAGCCUGAUGCAGCCAUGCCGCGUGUAUGAAGAAGGCCUUCGGGUUGUAAAGUACUUUCAGCGGGGAGGCGUUACCCACAGAAGAAGCACCGGCUAACUCCGUGCCAGCAGCCGCGGUAAUUC
rnacentral:rRNA from 1 species